rnacentral:rRNA from 1 species
AGAUUGAACGCUGGCGGCAGGCCUAACACAUGCAAGUCGAGCGGUAGAGAGGUGCUUGCAUCUCUCGAGAGCGGCGGACGGGUGAGUAAUGCCUAGGAAUCUGCCUAGUGGUGGGGGAUAACGUUCGGAAACGGACGCUAAUACCGCAUACGUCCUACGGGAGAAAGCGGGGGACCUUCGGGCCUCGCGCCAUUAGAUGAGCCUAGGUCGGAUUAGCUAGUUGGUGAGGUAAUGGCUCACCAAGGCGACGAUCCGUAACUGGACUGAGAGGAUGAUCAGUCACACUGAACUGAGACACGGUCCAGACUCCUACGGGAGCAGCGAGUGGGGAAUAGUUGGACAAGU